rnacentral:lncRNA from 1 species
UCUUCCACUUUCUCCCCAUUGCAAUAUACCUCCCCACCAUAAUGCCAUGGCACGGCAUCAUCUUUGUCAUAUGGAAUUGGUCCAGGUACCGUGAUGGUAACUGGAGCCGCCUCAGCUAGAUUUGACAAAUCCACCGGAUCAAAAUAAAUUGUUAUGGUGGAGACCUCUUCUUUUCCCAUAUCAGCCCUCUCAAUCAGAAUACUUCCAUUGUCCAUCAGUCCCUGGACAGUCUCUCUCAACAAUUCACAUCCAUUGACAGAAAUAGUGCACACAGCACAAUCAACACCGCAGCCCGGAUGAACCCCAUUCAACAUCAACUGCCUCUUAACCUCAGUCAGAGGAGUCUUCAACUGAUCAACCCUCAACAACCCGAU